rnacentral:rRNA from 1 species
CGGACGGGUGAGUAACACGUGGAUAACCUACCUAUAAGACUGGGAUAACUUCGGGAAACCGGAGCUAAUACCGGAUAAUAUAUUGAACCGCAUGGUUCAAUAGUGAAAGACGGUUUUGCUGUCACUUAUAGAUGGAUCCGCGCCGCAUUAGCUAGUUGGUAAGGUAACGGCUUACCAAGGCAACGAUGCGUAGCCGACCUGAGAGGGUGAUUGGCCACACUGGAACUGAGACACGGUCCAG